rnacentral:rRNA from 1 species
UGGGGAAUAUUGCACAAUGGGGGAAACCCUGAUGCAGCGACGCCGCGUGCGGGAUGAAGGCCUUCGGGUUGUAAACCGCUUUCAGCAGGGACGAAGCGAGAGUGACGGUACCUGCAGAAGAAGCGCCGGCUAACUACGUGCCAGCAGCCGCGGUAAUACGUAGGGCGCAAGCGUUGUCCGGAAUUAUUGGGCGUAAAGAGCUCGUAGGCGGCCUGUUACGUCUGCUGUGAAAUCCCGGGGCUUAACCCCGGGCGUGCAGUGGAUACGGGCAGGCUGGAGGCAGGCAGGGGAGAACGGAAUUCCCGGUGUAGCGGUGAAAUGCGCAGAUAUCGGGAGGAACACCGGUGGCGAAGGCGGUUCUCUGGGCCUGUACUGACGCUGAGGAGCGAAAGCGUGGGGAGCAAACA